rnacentral:rRNA from 1 species
AGUCGAACGGAAAGGCCCUGCUUUUGUGGGGUGCUCGAGUGGCGAACGGGUGAGUAACACGUGAGUAACCUGCCCUUGACUUUGGGAUAACUUCAGGAAACUGGGGCUAAUACCGGAUAGGAGCUCCUGCUGCAUGGUGGGGGUUGGAAAGUUUCGGCGGUUGGGGAUGGACUCGCGGCUUAUCAGCUUGUUGGUGGGGUAGUGGCUUACCAAGGCUUUGACGGGUAGCCGGCCUGAGAGGGUGACCGGCCACAUUGGGACUGAGAUACGGCCCAGACUCCUACGGGAGGCAGCAGUGGGGAAUAUUGCACAAUGGGCGGAAGCCUGAUGCAGCAACGCCGCGUGCGGGAUGACGGCCUUCGGGUUGUAAACCGCUUUCGCCUGUGACGAAGCGUGAGUGACGGUAAUGGGUAAAGAAGCACCGGCUAACUACGUGCCAGCAGCCGCGGUGAUACGUAGGGUGCGAGCGUUGUCCGGAUUUAUUGGGCGUAAAGGGCUCGUAGGUGGUUGAUCGCGUCGGAAGUGUAAUCUUGGGGCUUAACCCUGAGCGUGCUUUCGAUACGGGUUGACUUGAGGAAGGUAGGGGAGAAUGGAAUUCCUGGUGGAGCGGUGGAAUGCGCAGAUAUCAGGAGGAACACCAGUGGCGAAGGCGGUUCUCUGGGCCUUUCCUGACGCUGAGGAGCGAAAGCGUGGGGAGCGAACAGGCUUAGAUACCCUGGUAGUCCACGCUGUAAACGGUGGGUACUAGGUGUGGGGUCCAUUCCACGGGUUCCGUGCCGUAGCUAACGCUUUAAGUACCCCGCCUGGGGAGUACGGCCGCAAGGCUAAAACUCAAAGGAAUUGACGGGGCCCCGCACAAGCGGCGGAGCAUGCGGAUUAAUUCGAUGCAACGCGUAGAACCUUACCUGGGUUUGACAUGGAUCGGGAGUGCUCAGAGAUGGGUGUGCCUCUUUUGGGGUCGGUUCACAGGUGGUGCAUGGCUGUCGUCAGCUCGUGUCGUGAGAUGUUGGGUUAAGUCCCGCAACGAGCGCAACCCUUGUUCACUGUUGCCAGCACGUUAUGGUGGGGACUCAGUGGAGACCGCCGGGGUCAACUCGGAGGAAGGUGGGGAUGACGUCAAGUCAUCAUGCCCCUUAUGUCCAGGGCUUCACGCAUGCUACAAUGGCUGGUACAGAGAGUGGCGAGCCUGUGAGGGUGAGCGAAUCUCGGAAAGCCGGUCUCAGUUCGGAUUGGGGUCUGCAACUCGACCUCAUGAAGUCGGAGUCGCUAGUAAUCGCAGAUCAGCAACGCUGCGGUGAAUACGUUCCCGGGGCUUGUACACACCGCCCGUCAAGUCAUGAAAGUUGGUAACACCCGAAGCCGGUGGCCUAACCGUUG